rnacentral:tRNA from 1 species
GGUUCUAUGGUGUUAGAAAACAUAUCUAAUUGCAAACUAGAAGUAGCCUGAAAGGCUAGAACCU